rnacentral:rRNA from 1 species
AGCGAACGCUGGCGGCAGGCCUAACACAUGCAAGUCGAACGAAACUUUCGGGGUUAGUGGCGGACGGGUGGGUAACACGUGGGAACGUGCCUUUAGGUUCGGAAUAACUCAGGGAAACUUGUGCUAAUACCGAAUGUGCCCUUCGGGGGAAAGAUCUAUCGCCGUUAGAGCGGCCCGCGUCUGAUUAGCUAGUUGGUUGAGGUAAUGGCUCUCCAAGGCCACGAUCAGUAGCUGGUCUGAGAGGAUGCUUAGACGCAUUGGAAGUGUGACACGGCCCACAACGCUACGGGGGGGAGGAGUAUGGAGUAUUGGGCGCGGAGGGAAAACCUGACGCAGCCAUGCCGCGUAAAACAUCAGGGUCUUAGGAUACUAAUAUCCUUUGGCCGGGGACGAGAUUGACGGUACCCGGUAAAGAAGCCCCGGCUAACUACGUG